UACAGAGGGGGCGAGCGUUGUUCGGAAUUACUGGGCGUAAAGGGCGCGUAGGCGGCCUUCUAAGUCGAACGUGAAAUCCCCGGGCUCAACCCGGGAACUGCGUCCGAUACUGGGAGGCUUGAAUCCGGGAGAGGGAUGUGGAAUUCCUGGUGUAGCGGUGAAAUGCGCAGAUAUCAGGAGGAACACCAAUAGCGAAGGCAGCUCGCUGGGACGGUACUGACGCUGAGACGCGAAAGCGUGGGGAGCAAACAGG
rnacentral:rRNA from 1 species